GACAGAGGGUGCAAACGUUGUUCGGAAUUACUGGGCGUAAAGCGCGUGUAGGCGGCUUUGUAAGUCGGAUGUGAAAGCCCCGGGCUCAACCCGGGAAGUGCACUCGAUACUGCAGAGCUUGAGUGUGGGAGAGGUUGGUGGAAUUCCCGGUGUAGAGGUGAAAUUCGUAGAUAUCGGGAGGAACACCGGCGGCGAAGGCGGCCAACUGGACCACUACUGACGCUGAGACACGAAAGCGUGGGGAGCAAACGGG
rnacentral:rRNA from 1 species